rnacentral:rRNA from 1 species
GUGGGGAAUUUUGGACAAUGGGCGAAAGCCUGAUCCAGCAAUGCCGCGUGCAGGAUGAAGGCCCUCGGGUUGUAAACUGCUUUUGUACGGAACGAAAAGCUCUGGGCUAAUACCCUGGAGUCAUGACGGUACCGUAAGAAUAAGCACCGGCUAACUACGUGCCAGCAGCCGCGGUAAUACGUAGGGUGCAAGCGUUAAUCGGAAUUACUGGGCGUAAAGCGUGCGCAGGCGGUUUUGUAAGACAGUGGUGAAAUCCCCGGGCUCAACCUGGGAACUGCCAUUGUGACUGCAAAGCUAGAGUGCGGCAGAGGGGGAUGGAAUUCCGCGUGUAGCAGUGAAAUGCGUAGAUAUGCGGAGGAACACCGAUGGCGAAGGCAAUCCCCUGGGCCUGCACUGACGCUCAUGCACGAAAGCGUGGGGAGCAAACAGGAUUAGAAACCCGAGUAGUCC